GCAAGUCGAACGAGAACGGGUCAUAGCUUGCUAUGACUGUCAGCUAAGUGGCGGACGGGUGAGUAAUGUAUAGUUAAUCUGCCCUUUAGAGGGGGAUAACAGUUGGAAACGACUGCUAAUACCCCAUACUCCUUUUACAUUAAUUGUAAUUGGGAAACGUUUUUUCGCUAAAGGAUGAGACUAUAUGGUAUCAGGUAGUUGGUGGGGUAAGAGCCUACCAAGCCAAUGACGCCUAGCUGGUCUGAGAGGAUGAUC
rnacentral:rRNA from 1 species